rnacentral:rRNA from 1 species
UAAAGAUUCAUCGCUGAUAGAUAGGCAUGCGUUCCAUUAGGCAGUUGGCGGGGUAACGCGCGACCAAACCGACGAUGGAUAGGGGUUCUGAGAGGAAGGUCCCCCACAUUGGUACUGAGACACGGACCAAACUCCUACGGGAGGCAGCAGUGAGGAAUAUUGGUCAAUGGGCGCGAGCCUGAACCAGCCAAGUCGCGUGAGGGAUGAAGGUUCUAUGGAUCGUAAACCUCUUUUAUAAGGGAAUAAAGUGUGGGACGUGUCCUAUUUUGUAUGUACCUUAUGAAUAAGGAUCGGCUAACUCCGUGCCAGCAGCCGCGGUAAUACGGAGGAUCCGAGCGUUAUCCGGAUUUAUUGGGUUUAAAGGGUGCGUAGGCGGCCUUUUAAGUCAGCGGUGAAAGUCUGUGGCUCAACCAUAGAAUUGCCGUUGAAACUGGGGGGCUUGAGUAUGUUUGAGGCAGGCGGAAUGCGUGGUGUAGCGGUGAAAUGCUUAGAUAUCACGCAGAACCCCGAUUGCGAAGGCAGCCUGCCAAGCCAUGACUGACGCUGAUGCACGAAAGCGUGGGGAUCAAACAGGAUUAGAUACCCUGGUAGUCCACGCAGUAAACGAUGAUCACUAGCUGUUUGCGAUACAGUGUAA